rnacentral:rRNA from 1 species
AAUGCAUAGGAAAUUGCCUUGAAGUGGGGGAUAGCCCGGAGAAAUCCGGAUUAAUACCGCAUGCGCUCUACGGAGCAAAGCGGGCCUCUGAUUUAAGCUCGCGCUUUGAGAUAUGCCUAUGUCGGAUUAGCUUGUUGGUAGGGUAAAAGCCUACCAAGGCGACGAUCCGUAGCUGGUUUGAGAGGAUGAUCAGCCACACUGGGACUGAGACACGGCCCAG